AGUGAACGCUGGCGGUAGGCCUAACACAUGCAAGUCGAACGGCAGCACAGUAAGAGCUUGCUCUUACGGGUGGCGAGUGGCGGACGGGUGAGGAAUACAUCGGAAUCUACUUUUUCGUGGGGGCUAACGUAGGGAAACUUACGCUAAUACCGCAUACGACCUACGGGUGAAAGCAGGGGAUCUUCGGACCUUGCGCGAUUGAAUGAGCCGAUGUCGGAUUAGCUAGUUGGCGGGGUAAAGGCCCACCAAGGCGACGAUCCGUAGCUGGUCUGAGAGGAUGAUCAGAAACACUGGAACUGAGACACGGUCCAGACUCCUACGGGAGGCAGCAGUGGGGAAUAUUGGACAAUGGGCGCAAGCCUGAUCCAGCCAUACCGCGUGGGUGAAGAAGGCCUUCGGGUUGUAAAGCCCUUUUGUUGGGAAAGAAAAGCAGCAGGUUAAUACCCCGCUGUUCUGACGGUACCCAAAGAAUAAGCACCGGCUAACUUCGUG
rnacentral:rRNA from 1 species